rnacentral:snoRNA from 1 species
CUGGCUCAGAGGAGUCUAGCAAGCCACACAGAAAUCUUUUCAAUUUAGGAUGGCUGUCCUAAGAAAAGGGCUGCCUUUUACGGAGGACAAU